AACAACAACAACAAUAAUAAUAAUUUGAGUUUUGUAAAAUGAAUAUAAUAUGAAAUACUAAAAAGUUCCACACAUAUUACCUUAACCUUGUUUAUAUGUAUAGGGCUACAAUAAACCUAAAUAAUCCUGACACAUGCACAGCGAGCUGUUUGAUGUGCAGCUAAAAGUAAGACACUUUCUAUUAAUUAUGAUUUUAAUUUAUUACCCAUGUGAAGGCAGCUGGAACCGGUUUUAACAUGCGUGUUCAUUGUCAUGUCACACAUUUCUAGCACUCUCUGCACUCUUUACAAGUGACACAUAAACUCUACACAAAUGCAUUACACACUUUCAUGUAAUCUGUAAAAUAAUGGCCCUAGAAUUCUAACUCGUGUUUUUUCUUGUUACUGUUUUGCUGGAGAACUGAAGAAGCAAAGAGUUGCCUCGGUUAGUGAGAGUGCUAUAAUCAAAGAACUUCCCUAAAACGGAGGAUGUAAAAAUGUAGCAUACGGUAACAGAAAACCCCACAAGAUGAGUCUUUCAGACAAGUUAAACCAAGUUCCUGUUUUUAGUUCUCUCUUCUUUCUUUUCCUUUUCUUUUUUUAAAAAAAGAAAAAAAUCACAACUCUAUAGUCUGUCUGCACUUUCAUUCAUAAAAUGUGUUGCGACACAGUUUUACAAGAAAUGCUGUCAGUAAUCGGUUUUCAUUUAGGAAUAUUAAGCAACCGUGUAUUCCAGGAUGUGUGUGAAAGUCACACCCUCAUGUCAGUCUUUCACUGUGAAAACUGGCCACAGUACAUGCGGGUAUGCAUGCAAAAGGAGACUGAGACUGCAAUAAAGAGCAAAAUGGAAUAAAUGACUCUGAUGUUUACAUUAAAUUUGUUUAAUGGUGCAUUAACUACAGCAAUUCAUCAAUAGUUGUCAGAGGGAGAUAGCGGCAUAAACACAGAAUGACUAGAUAAGAUUGCAUGCAACAGGUCACGUAAUAUUCGCAUGUACACGUCAUGAGAGACAAAAGCAAAAGCAUUAGGUCCAAUUAGCAUGCAGCCUUAUUGCAUUUUUAAAAAUAUGCGUUACAAUUAAAGAGGAAACACAUCCAAAAUGAUCCCCAAAAUCUGACAAGAAAAUAAUAAAGCAACAAUCUAACUACCAGACUCAGAGGUUACCUUAAGCCUUAUGUUUGCUAACAAUGCUGAAUAAAAAUUGAAAAUUUUAUUUACCUAAACAUGGAGAAUGCAACGUUCCUUACUCCACCUUGGUUUCUGUUUGGUGACUGACAGCGUGUGACACAUCCAUUCUUUCAUCUGGGCAAGGCCACACGUGAACUUCAGCAAAAGGAUCACAGUGUUCCCUUAGCUUUCCCACGGACGCUUUAUACUUCAGUGAUGUGAUGCCAAAAAUAUGCAUAUCGUACAAUAAAGCAAAUCUAUCAAGGUCAGCAUACAGUGCAUGCUGUGAAGUGAGCUAAAACAAGCAAAAACACUGGUGUGGACCUUUGAUGAUCCAAAUCAGGUAAACGACAACACAGAGAAAAAGCCACUAUCUCCCCGCAGAUCUGACAGGUGUGGAAAUAUUUUUUUAAGAAGAACGUGAUUAAUUACUUCUAGUGACUAACCUGCCCCUUUUUACGAGGCAGAUUUCAACAGCACACUUUAAGCACAUUAAGCCACAUGCAGUAUUGUAAGAACAAGAUCUUGCAUUUUAUGCACUUUUUUUGCAAAGGCCUUGAGUGCAACACUUUGAAACUCCCCCACUACGCUUGUUGAUAUUUUUCAUUGCACUCUAAGACAUCAGCAUGAAAAACUAAUUGCAAAAAGAAUUUUUUAAAAAUUAAAACUCGCUAAUCCUGAGGAGUAUUUUCUUUAACAUUUAUAUAACUCUUUUCUUAUUCUCACACUAUGAUUUACUCACAAAGGCUGCCACCUUUGUAUUUUUCUAAGACAGCUUUAUCUUUGUUCCAAGAUCCUAGAAGGCCUGAAUCACGCUUGAUUAGCUUUUUUCCAUUUUACCAGUAAACAAUUUCCCGUAAGAAGGAAGUGAUUUGGUCUAGUUGGGUGCAGGUGUCUAAAAGGACAGUAAAUAAAUCUUGUCCAGCAUGCAUGAAAUACUUGACUGCAUUCCUCAAGCAGUAAGAACGUCAUUGUAGCCACAACAAACACCCGAAGUCCUUAAUGCACUUGCUGCAGUGCUUGAUGUGCAACCUUAAUGUAAAUGAAGGAUUCGUAAAAUGAAACGCUUCGACUUGCAGCUGACUGUAGGCGACGACUUUAAGCAACUUUAUUGACGGAAACGUAAUGAUUUAAAAACAUAUGACAUUGUGUGUCUCGGUUUAUCCCACACAUAGUUUGUCAGUGAAUCAACAGAAACAAGAUGAAUCUUGCUGUGGAACAUCAUCAGCGUCUUUGAUUGCUGUCUUGGAUGCACUGGAGAGGUCCCACGAUGCAUUGCUGCCUGGCAACACUGUCAUAAUCUGAUGGAUGUCUUUAAUUAGUGUCAAUUCCACCACUGUAGCAGACACGUGCACCCACACAUAUUUUCCUUUACUUUAAAAAAGCCAGAAAAACACUAUUACUGGGGCUAGAUAAACUCUUACUGGUAACAGGCAGCGCCACUGUCAAAAUAAAGUCAAGUGAAAGAGUUUGCAAGAAAUUCAGUCCUUUUUCUUUUAAGUGUUUCUGCAAUUCAUCCUCAAAAAAAACAAAAACAAAAACAAAAAAAACAAAAAACUCAACAAACCAAACCCAACUGGUUAGGAAGUGGAGCAUUGGUUAAGGUUGCAGUAAAAAAACAAAACAAAACUGUGGGAAUCGAUUGUGCAAGUAGUUUUUUCCCACAGUUUUUGCCAUGCUUUGUUAUAUAAAGAGAUUUGUUUGCAACAAUUCCGAAUAAGUUGGGUGCGUGACCUGAAAUGCUACAUAUUACAGAGUUAACCUUUGACCUGGCUGCAUUAGAAAAAAAAAAUCAUCAUUGCAGAGAUCUAAUCUUAGACAGAGUGAAAGAUGCCUACCCCCCAACGAGUUUAAACAAGUUCUGUGUUAAAAUUGUUUUGUGUGGUAAAUCCAUUUUGAGCCUCAGCUGUUGCCCCCUCCCACCUGUUUACAAUGGAACAAAGCAUCUCAGGUGGAUUAUAUAUAGGGGUGCAUAUGGCAAAAUGUGCUUUUGUUUUUAUUAUUUAGCUUAUUCAGAACUGCUGUGUGUCACGUGGCCUUACCAAAUCUUUAAUCCUGACAGUAUAUUUUUGGGGAAAUCCAUGACAGUACCUUUAAUAUCUGCUUUUCACAGAUCGUAUUUAUAGUCUUCUACUUCUUGGCCACACAGGCUUGAAGGGUAGGAGAAUAAUUGUUUGACAAUACUAUGCCUAUUUUCUCUGUCUUUUUGCAAAAUCAAUCUAUUCACAUGCAUUAUGCGGUAUGUCCAUAUAGGUUAUAAUGGACUGGAUGUGCAUUUGAAAGCUCUAAAAGCAUAUUAAGUUUAAAAAAGAGAGAGAAAUGGGAAAAAAGAAAAUAUAGUUUUGACUUUAGCAAAAAGGGAAAUGUCUGUUCCAGAAAGUUCACUUGUAAUUGACUACACUGAGAAUUAUGUAGGGAGGUAGCAUAACUACUGUAGAUACGUUUAAUAGAUACAUUUAAAGAGUAGUCGACCAUGAAAAUCAACGCGCAUAUAGCCUCUGGGAACAUUUGUGACACAGCAGAUUCUUCUCAGUAACAUUUUCUGCAUAGUGCUUUCAUAGUACAUGAAUGAAUGAAUGGACAAAGUGGAAACGUUUAAAGAUGAACACGUGUGACAUUUGGGUUCAGAAGGUAAUGACUAACAUGCCAUAGACGCAAGAAAUAAGGAGGGCAAAUUACUGAUAGCGUGCACUACUCGGAUUUGCCAGAUUAAAUAUUAGGUCCAUCAGCUUGGAGCUAUAUUUGGCAGUUUCACGAAAACAUGAAAGCCUGCCCACAGCAUGAGCUAAACAACGUGCACGCAUCCUGCACUCUUUACCUCCACUCUGUCACAGCAACCUUUGGCGUCAGCGUACAUUUUGCUAUUUCGAGGUUGAAUCUUUUUUUUUUUUUUACACGUUAAUUUAUGUUGAAGUAAAGUGAAACCUUAGCGAGGACGGAAGUAAUGUCACAUGCUGCGUAAGGCAGGACGUGAUUCCUGCGUGAUUCCUUCGCUCAAAAGCCACAAGAACCGCGGGAAUAGAGGGAGGACGAACACGUAUAGUUUCAAACUGUAAAGCCAUAACUUUGAAGAAUUUCAGCAGCAAUGAAGACGCACUCGAUACUGCCCGCUUCCAACAUUAGCCCGAGGUGAAUAUGAAUGAAGAAUGACCAAUGCCUCUUUUUUGCAUCAGUUUCCUUGUUCUCCUUCUUCUACCUCUCUCUCUGUCCUGUGGUAGUGUACAACUUGAUAACAUCAGAAGUGAUUAUAUCACCAUCAUUCAAACGGAACUGCAGAGGACAACAGAAGAAAUCACAAGCUUGCUGCAAAACUCAGACUGUUCAGUAUUCUCACACAAGCUACGCAACUGCACACCAGGCAACGCAACGUCUGUGCGUACCUUACAUAACCUAACCUGCAAAAUGCGGAGUUUACCGUUUCUCCAGAUGACUCUACAACUGAUCACGUCCGUCGAAAUUUCGAUGAGUUGCCAUUGUCGUGAGAAAUCAAUCAAAAUGCCCACUGAGAGUUUAAAGAGGAGAAGGGGAGCAACAAGACGAAGGAGGAACGAGGGGACGAAAAACAGAAAGCAGACUAAAAAACUGUGCAAAGCCAAGGCAAUUCUUUCCGCCAUGACUGAAUGCUACCAGAUGCUAAACUCUCUAUAAAUGGAUACCUGAAUCCAAACUCAAUCACAGCAUGAAGCUCAAAACUUGCAUGCGCUGUCAGUUCCUGUGCAGUAUGCAUUGCUUCGGUGGAUUAUGCGAGGAGGAGCUUCCACUUCAUUUAAGCUUUCCUGUCAAGUACCAGUAUAUUUCUGUAGCAGCUGUUUCAGGUGUUGUAUGACUACUGACUCUUCAGAUAAGUUUCCCAGCCACACAGAAGCAAAAUAUUCAGUCAAGCGGAAAUGAAAUUCCUAAGUCUUCCUAAUAUCCUGAUUUCCCACACACUAAGGACCAGCUGCAUAUACAACCUUUUAUGCAGCAUCAUGUGGACUACAAACAGUUUAAGGUGCAUGUUUUCUUUUUUUAUUAUCACAGCAAAGCGUUUUAAUAGCUGAAGUUGUGUUUAGCUAUAAAAAGUGGAUAUGAUUAACUUUAAAGGUGCUUAAACUGAACUUUGUUUUCGAAGCACUUGCUACGACAUUAACUUGCACUUAGUAGUGGCUGCUGAAGCAUGACUAGGAAAUAUUAAGGUGCUCAGAUAUAGUUUUGCUUUCACUUUGGAUUGGAAUAACUAGCCCUGGCAGAUCUUUUUUAUCUUGGUUAUCUAAAGCUCCUCGAUUUUUGUUUUUAAUUUUCCUGUCCGGGGAGUUGUUUUAGGCUGUGUGUCAAGGUACGGUCUGAGAUGACACUGUGUUGAUUACUCAUUGACAAUGAUUUAUAUAUUAAAAGCAUGCUUUGCCACAGUUAUUUAAGCUCAGGUCACAGACCUUUUUUUUCCUAUCCUGGGAUAUAGCUACAGUACGAGCUUUUACUGUCACAAUCAGUUGGUGCUCUGAUUAAUGUUAUCUACCUAAAAACUUUUUUUCCCUUUUUACACAAUUAUAGAAAAUAUAAGCAUGCAACCUUUGCUACAUUUUGCAGCUAUUUUCAGCACAGCAGCUAUUUGUUUCCCGUCAUGUAGCAUACAUUAUGUACUACAUAACAUUAUGUUGUUAUGUAGCUAACUUCUGUCUUUAAACUGUAUAUUUAAGCUGAUGACUAACAUUGUAUAUAACAUGGCAUACUAUUCAAAAAAUAUAUUUAUAUCCCAAACAAAGAUAAGGUGUGUGUUACUUAUUAGUCAGACUC